ACAAAGUUUACAAACUACACAGUUCAGUAAUGGGACAGUAUACUGACGAUUUAAGACAUUUCCACAGCCUUCGUAGAGCUAAAACUCAGCUAACGACAACCCAUUUAGCCCAGCAUCAAGUAUUUCUUCUCCUGCCACAGUCCCUUAGGUGUGUGUUUGCCCAACAAAGCCCCCCAGUGCUUCUGAAGUCUCCCAGUUCAGCGGUAAGAUGAAUCUUUUGUUGACUUACCUAAAUUUCGGCAGGUUUCACCCACCACACCUGUGCUUACUCUGUGAGCAGGAACUGCCCUGUGACUCUAACAGAAACAGUGUUAAAUCUACUCCAGUUCCAGUCAGAAGAACUUCACAAAGCUGCAACAACUGUGUAUGUCAGCAGGGUCGAGACCAGGACCAGAGGCCGGGUAGUGGACUGGGAUCUGCAGAGUCUUCCAGACCCAUCCUGUGUAUCCGGGAGACCUCCCUCUGACCAGGCAGGUACGAUGGGUCAGGUACUCAACACUCAGUCCUCUGUCACCCACAAACUGAUGGCCUCCUUCAAAAAAACCCCCUCCACCGACCACGACAGCCUUCCCCUGAAGAGCAUCUUUUCUACGCUGAAGAAGCCCCUCGUCACCAAACCCAAUGACUUCAUCCCCCUGUUCAACGACUGCAUCUCUGUCGCUUCAUCCAGAACCCAGGAGUAUCUGCUGUUCGUGGACCCGGAGGACAAGUUCAGCCCCAGCCCCGAGGUGCUCACUCAGAUCUUCUUGAUGACCUAUAUCUCUCAGAGCGUCCACCUCAACAUGACGGACACCUUCAACUGUACGGUCCUGACCCCGGGACAGCGCGUCCUCCUUGGGGCCGACUGGGUCUGGGCGGUCCUAGACAAACCCACCAAGAACCCUCGGAUCCAGAUCGCCGUCCAGGUCCUGCAUCUGCCCGAGAGAGAGGGCGUCAACGUGGACAAACCCCCCCCGGAGGCCUACAGCGAGUCCGUCCAGAUGGCCCACGUGGAGGCCGGCAACAAGAACACCAGCGAGAAGCUGGUGGAGUUCUGCUCGUCCAUCGGGAAGGACUGCUACGCCCUGUUCCUGUUCAUGGGGAGGAAGAACGACAAGGAGAACAUCUACGGCGUCGUCAGUAACAACUUCGAGGCAGCCACGGGGAAGUGCGACAAGAUCGACAGAGCUUUUAUCGAGAACUUCUUCAAAGGGUCCAGGUAUCUGCACACGCCCACGGGGAUGAUGCGGGCCAUCGUCACCAAGAAAGAAGGAGACCCUCUGACUCUGAUGGUUAAAUUCAGCUGAAAUCCAGGGGUUUCAAGGCCCAUCAGUGGGAGGUGGUCUUCUGGGUCAUUCCAAACCAGGUCAUGGACUUUAAUCCAAAAAAGUGCAAAAUCAUAAACAUCUAUGGCAAAUAUUUCAGUUUUACUUUGGAUUUCUGACAUUUGGAGUAAAAUUUCAUCAUCUGUGUGAACUCCAAACCUCACCAACUGCUAAUUUUUCACUCAAUUGGGCUGAAAUUUAUACAGAACAUUCAAGAAAUCACAAGGAUAUUUUUCAAAUAUGUUCUUGUAAAUUGCUAAAAUUACCUAAAGAAAGAAUAAACUUUUCAGAAUAUCUGAAAUUAACAAAUAUUUAUUAAUAUAAUUGUAUUCUAUCAGCGCUUUCCUAAAAUAAUUGCCAAAGUCAUUUUGUUCAGAAAAAAACCUUAACCAGAUAUUGAGUAUUUGAUGAUUUGGGCAAUUUGUCAAAAAACAAACAAACAAACAAACAAACACAGGCAAUUAUUUUAGGAAGGUGACAACAUGUAAAAUAAAUAAGUAAAUAAACCAAAAAAAAUGAAGGGUUGUCUGAAGGAUUAUGUGAAUAGUUGUUUAACUUAUGAAAUGUAAAUACUCAUUGCAGUUGCAGAUCUGUAAUUUUUUUUUUUUUAAUCUAAUAAUCCAAUAAUAAACCUUUGGGA